AAUUUCUCAACCUCACCAGCUUUUGCUGAGUGCAGGCUUGGAUGUGGGGGUUGCAGGUCCGCUAACCGUGGUCUGCUCCUCUGAAAUGUAUUAGUGGGUUGGGCCCCUAAUCUAUUGGUGUGAUAAUUAUCUACGCCGUGGAUUCGGGUGGCUGACUUGGACCCGCUUCUAACCGUCCUUCACUUGGACAACUCU
rnacentral:misc_RNA from 3 species